GCUGGGCGUGGUGGCAUGCGCCUGUAAUCCCAGGUACUCAGGAGGCUGAGGCAGGAGAAUCGCUUGAGCCUGGGAGGCAGAGGUUGCAGUGAGCAGACACAGUGCCACUGCACUCCAGCCUAGGCGACAGAGUGAGACUCUGUCUCAA
rnacentral:SRP_RNA from 1 species